UACAGAGGUCUCAAGCGUUGUUCGGAUUCAUUGGGCGUAAAGGGCGCGUAGGUGGCCUGUGGAAGUCUGCGGUGAAAGCCCGGCGCUCAACGCCGGGUCGGCCGUGGAUACUCUCGGGCUUGAGCUUACUAGAGGCAGAUGGAAUUCCGGGUGUAGCGGUGGAAUGCGUAGAGAUCCGGAAGAACACCGGUGGCGAAGGCGGUCUGCUGGGGUAAUGCUGACACUGAUGCGCGACAGCGUGGG
rnacentral:rRNA from 1 species